rnacentral:lncRNA from 1 species
GACAUUCCUCCUUCAACCAUCAGAACCUCACAACCUCUACCUGUUUUAAAAAUUGCACGUAAUUUCAUACCACCCUCUGAACCUAAACAACUAUAUCACCACAGCCCUUCCUCUUCAUCAUCCUCAGCACCAGAAUCACCCCCAUACAUUAGUGUUUCAUUAUCAUCAUCAGAACCUUCUGACCCUAAAUCCCCAACAAUAGCUGAAAUUUAUGCUAGAAAAUUCGCCCCACAAACUCAAACACAAUCUGAAGUAACCUCAACCCUCCGAACUUCUCUUCCACAACAAACAACCACCAUCUCCCUUGAAAAUCAAACUUCCCUUCCACCACAAACAACCACCAUACCCUCUGAAACUCAACCAUCUGAUCCCUUCACCUCUAAUAUCACUCCACCAAUUAUUCCCGCUGUACCUGGACCAGACUCUGACCCAUUAGACCUAAACCCACUCUAUGCUUCAUCCCCCAGUCUUCAACCAGAACCAGAUUCUGAACUUCAAGCAGAAUCUGAACCUCAACCAGAAUCAGAAACUGAACCUCC